rnacentral:rRNA from 1 species
AACCCUGGUAGUCCACGCUGUAAACGAUGUCGACUUGGAGGUUGUUCCCUUGAGGAGUGGCUUCCGGAGCUAACGCGUUAAGUCGACCGCCUGGGGAGUACGGCCGCAAGGUUAAAACUCAAAUGAAUUGACGGGGGCCCGCACAAGCGGUGGAGCAUGUGGUUUAAUUCGAUGCAACGCGAAGAACCUUACCUACUCUUGACAUCCAGAGAACUUAGCAGAGAUGCUUUGGUGCCUUCGGGAACUCUGAGACAGGUGCUGCAUGGCUGUCGUCAGCUCGUGUUGUGAAAUGUUGGGUUAAGUCCCGCAACGAGCGCAACCCUUAUCCUUUGUUGCCAGCGGUUCGGCCGGGAACUCAAAGGAGACUGCCAGUGAUAAACUGGAGGAAGGUGGGGAUGACGUCAAGUCAUCAUGGCCCUUACGAGUAGGGCUACACACGUGCUACAAUGGCAUAUACAAAGAGAAGCGACCUCGCGAGAGCAAGCGGACCUCAUAAAGUAUGUCGUAGUCCGGAUUGGAGUCUGCAACUCGACUCCAUGAAGUCGGAAUCGCUAGUAAUCGUGGAUCAGAAUGCCACGGUGAAUACGUUCCCGGGCCUUGUACACACCGCCCGUCACACCAUGGGAGUGGGUUGCAAAAGAAGUAGGUAGC